rnacentral:lncRNA from 1 species
AUGAAAGCGGAAGACAUGAGCACCGCAGAUUCCCAACCACCGAAAGCUGGUGCAGAAGAAUCAGCAGCAGGUUGGGCAAUCCCAUUAGGCUGUUGCAUUACUUGUAAUGGCUGCAACUGGUGCUGGCUUGCUGCGGCAGCAAACGGAUCCUCAUUGAUCAGAGAGUUCAGAAACGAAGAGAAGACAUCGUCAGUGCAACAGUUCAUGUCUUCAUCCUCCUCAUUUCCAAGCAGUAGGUUGCUUCUCAAAGCUCCCAUUCCUGCUGCAGAGGCAUCAGAGUCAUUGGAGGUCAUAACAUUUCCAUAGCC